rnacentral:rRNA from 1 species
CCUACGGGAGGCUGCAGUGGGGCAUAUUGGGCAAUGGGCGCAAGCCUGACCCAGCAACGCCGCGUGAAGGAAGAAGGCCCUCGGGUUGUAAACUUCUUUUUAUAAGGGCGAAACAAAUGACGGUACUUGAUGACUAAGCCCCGGCUAAAUACGUGCCAGCAUCCGCGGUAAUACGUUGGUGGCGAGCGUUCUCCGGAUUUACUGGGUGUAAAGGGCGUGUUGGCGGGACUGCAGGUCAGAUGUGAAAAUCAUGGGCUCAACCCUGGGCCUGGAGUGGACACGGGUGUUCUGGAGUGUUGGAGAGGCAGGCGGAAUUCGGGGUGUAGCGGUGAAAUGCGUAGAUAUAGGGAGGAACACCAGUGGCGAAGGC